rnacentral:rRNA from 1 species
CCUACGGGAGACAGCAGUGGGGAAUAUUGCACAAUGGGGGAAACCAUGAUGCAGUAACGCCGCGUGAAGGAAGACGGUUUUCGGAUUGUAAACUUCUGUUCUUAGUGAAGAAGAAUGACGGUAGCUAAGGAGCAAGCCACGGCUAACUACGUGCCAGCAGCCGCGGUAAUACGUAGGUGGCAAGCGUUGUCCGGAAUUACUGGGUGGAAAGGGAGCGCAGGCGGGAAGCCAAGUCAGCUGUGAAAACUACGGGCUUAACUUGUAGACUGCAGUUGAAACUGGUUUUCUUGAGUGAAGUAGAGGUUGGCGGAAUUCCGAGUGUAGCGGUGAAAUGCGUAGAUAUUCGGAGGAACACCGGUGGCGAAGGCGGCCAACUGGGCUUUAACUGACGCUGAGGCUCGAAAGUGUGGGGAGCAAACAGGAUUAGAUACCCCUGUAGUC